UCGAUAACACGGACGUGACACAUUACGCUAGUGAAAUAGAAUUCUUUUUUAUUUCAAAGGCACAACGUCGAAUGUUGGCCUAGUAUCAGUUUCGCAAUACUCACUACAUUCCUAGCAGAAGGUCGUACGACAGUAAUAUCAACUAACACACACGAAAUGGCGUCCCCAGUUCUACAGCCCACUAUUGUUGCUUGUCCACAUUUCAACAAGGAGGAAGCUGCCCAAGGCUUGAGGAAAGCAAUGAAAGGAUUGGGUACGGAUGAAGCUGCCAUUAUUCGCAUAAUGCUCGCCCAUAACAACCAGCAAAGACGUGAAAUUGAGCUGCAGUUUAAAACGCUGUUUGGAAAGG